rfam:Nosema bombycis CQ1 unplaced genomic scaffold NBO_70, whole genome shotgun sequence.
GCUUUCAUAGUGUAGUGGUUAUCACGCAUCCUUUACACGGAUGAGGUCUCCGGUUCGAACCCGGAUGAAAGCA